UACGAAGGGGGCUAGCGUUGUUCGGAAUUACUGGGCGUAAAGGGCGCGUAGGCGGUGUGUCAAGUCAGGCGUGAAAGCCCCGGGCUCAACCUGGGAACAGCGCUUGAGACUGGCACGCUCGAGUUCGGGAGAGGAUGGUGGAAUUCCCAGUGUAGAGGUGAAAUUCGUAGAUAUUGGGAAGAACACCGAUGGCGAAGGCAGCCAGCUGGACCGACACUGACGCUGAGGCGCGAAAGCGUGGGGAGCAAACAGG
rnacentral:rRNA from 1 species